rnacentral:rRNA from 1 species
UACGGGGGGUGCAAGCGUUGUCCGGAAUCACUGGGCGUAAAGAGCUCGUAGGCGGUGUGUCGCGUCGGCCGUGAAAACCUGCAGCUUAACUGUGGGCUUGCGGUCGAUACGGGCAUCACUGGAGUUCGGCAGGGGAGACUGGAAUUCCUGGUGUAGCGGUGAAAUGCGCAGAUAUCAGGAGGAACACCGGUGGCGAAGGCGGGUCUCUGGGCCGAUACUGACGCUGAGGAGCGAAAGCGUGGGGAGCGAACAGG